CGCACAUAUAGCUUGCCAUCGUUCUCCUCUCUCUAAUGCCCCCUCCUCCUCCUCUAUUUCUCUUUCUCACUCUCACUCUCUCUCUCCAUCUCAGUCUCUCGCUCUGAGCAGUUCGUUCGGCAGAGCAGUAUAACAGAGUGGAGUGUGUGUUUGCUGUGGCGUGUGUGUGCCCAGAGCAGCAAUCGCAGUGAAAACACAGAGAGAAAGAUAGCACAUAGAAAAGGAGAGAGAGAGAGAGAUCCAGAGGCAGGACUGAGCGGACUGAGAGAAAGCAACACUCCUGACCACAACAGAGGGACCGACAUAGAGAUGCUGGCAGUCUAACAGAAUCUUCUGACAUUUCUUCUACAUCCCAGCCACAGAAGAUCACAGCAGUUCAAACAGUGUGACAUAUAACUGAAGACGCAUCCGAACGUCUCAUUCACUUUGCCGACAUCCUAACGUAAGUAGGCAACAUUUCCCAGUUUACAAUCAUUAUCUGUAGCGUUCUUUUCGCUCCCUCUACAACUUCUCUCAGCCUGCAUUUAAAUCAAAGGGAUGGCGAAAACUGAACCAUGCUCCUCAUUGCUUCAUUUGAACAGUUCUAGGGGUAUGGAGCAUUUCUCACGUUACAUCAUUGUAAUCAAGUGAAUUGCGCUAUAGUAGUGGUAUAACUGCUGUAAAUGAAUAACACAC